rnacentral:rRNA from 1 species
UAGGGAAUCUUCCGCAAUGGGCGAAAGCUUGACGGAGCAACGCCGCGUGAGUGAUGAAGGUCUUCGGAUCGUAAAACUCUGUUAUUAGGGAAGAACAAAUGUGGAAGUAACUAUGCACGUCUUGACGGUACCUAAUCAGAAAGCCACGGCUAACUACGUGCCAGCAGCCGCGGUAAUACGUAGGUGGCAAGCGUUAUCCGGAAUUAUUGGGCGUAAAGCGCGCGUAGGCGGUUUUUUAAGUCUGAUGUGAAAGCCCACGGCUCAACCGUGGAGGGUCAUUGGAAACUGGAAAACUUGAGUGCAGAAGAGGAAAGUGGAAUUCCAUGUGUAGCGGUGAAAUGCGCAGAGAUAUGGAGGAACACCAGUGGCGAAGGCGACUUUCUGGUCUGUAACUGACGCUGAUGUGCGAAAGCGUGGGGAUCAAACAGG